AUCUUGUGAUGUAUAUUCUAUAAUCUUGUGAUGUAUGUUCGAAAUCUUGUGAUGUAUAUUCGAAAUCUUGUGAUGUAUGUUCGAUAAUCUUGUGAUGUAUAUUCGAAAUCUUGUGAUGUAUGUUCGAUAAUCUUGUGAUGUAUAUUCGAAAUCUUGUGAUGUGUGUUCUACAAUUCAGUGAUGCGUGCAAUAAAAUUGCAUGACGCAACAGAAAAGUAAGGACAAUUUUCAUUGGUUAGAAAUAACGAAAGUAGCUGAAGCGUCGGGAAAACCAUGCAGGUGAGAAAAAACACAUCAGUUUGUUUAUUGCAGCACUAAUUACGAGAUGCACGAGUGUUGUUCCUGGUGACAUGAUGGAGAUAUUUCGGCCUGCUAGGGAAAAAACUCAGUAAACGUAGAUAUAUUGACAAAAUUUGUAGACGAGCUGAUCGCCAACCAGGAGAUCAGAAUGAUAGCAUCUGCUCCUGCCACUUUAAGGAUGGUAAGAAGGAGGGGGACCCUGCAUAUUUUGCAUGGAAUGAAGGAAAGGCCAUGGAUUUCUCUGAUCCUGAAUGUACAAAAAGGAGGAAAAAACUCAAAAGUGAGGAGUCCCUGUCAUAUCUUCACAGAUGGACCAGUUGCAGAUUCCACAAGCACCAAAAUGUCAAUAUCAAGAAAAAUUGAUAUCAGAGCACAACUACUCAGCAUCCUGCACAUUUAACUGUACUCAAGAAAUGCAGCGCCUCUCAACAGAAAUACAACUGGAAAAGGAAUUGCUUGCCCUAAAAAUAGAGUCUAGUAAAAGGAAGCCAAUAUCAAUCCACGAUAUUAAAUACAACGAAGAGAAGGUCUCUGAUCAGCAGGGGCAUUUUCUCUAUAUAAGAAGAAAAUGGAGACUCCCUACCCACCCGAUGUAUUUUGUCGGACAGUUUUCUGUACAUUGCAGUCACCAAUAUAUCCAAAUAUCAUCACCGGCCCAGACGUCAUUCACUCCUUUGAAUUGUGCUGGUAGCAGUAAGGUGUCAUCAUUUGAGAUGGUCACAGUAUCCAAUACACUGAAGUCACAGGACUCAAAUUUCAUACAUGUUCACAGAUGCUGUCUGAUGGCGUAGUGUAGAAUGUAGCGUAGAAUGUUUUCCAAGUCAGCUUAAAUGCAAAGGGUCUCUGCCAAAAUCUUUUGAGGAUUUUUCCUCUGCUAGAGCAUCCAUGGAUGCAAUUGAAACAACCCAGGACAUCCCAACACAUAUGGAUAAUCAGGCCAUGGCCUACAGUAUGUACAAAAGUUGCCAUACUUUUAAAGCAGUAACUUGCGUGCCUCCAAAUGGUGCACUUACAUUUUGCUCCAUGCUGUACCCAGGUUCUACUUCUGAUGUAGCUAUUGUACGUCACAGCCAAGUUUUACGAAAGUUCAAAGCUGGAGACCUUAUUUUGGUGGUCAAAGGUUUCACCAUUCAUGACCAGUUGCCCCAGGGUGUCUGCUUAAUUAUAAAAGCUCUUUUAUCGACACGAGGCCAGUUUACCAUACAAGAAGCAGCACUGUGUUACAAGAUUGCUAAAGCACUUAUUCAUGUGGAAAGAGCCAACGAGAGGAUAAAGAAUUACGAGAUUCUCCGUUACAUACCAUCUACUUACAGACCAAUCUCAACAAAAAUAUUUCAACUCUGUUCUUGUCUUGUAAACUUGCAAGCUCCACUUUUGAAAGAAAUUACUUAAAGAUACAUGUACUUAUUAUAAAUUUGCAUUGGCGUGUGACAGUAUACACUAAACAGUGAAGAUAUUCAUACCAAAGUGCAAGGGAUAAGCAAAUUUUGAUUUGUUAUCAAUGUCAAUGGUUAUAUUUGUUAAUUUUGUAGUAUGUUGUAAUACAUGUACUUCAGAAAAUGAAAAUCCCUUUUGUUAGCAUGGAUUUAUUACAAGAAUGUUUGGCAAUUCCAUUCUUCAUUUGACAAUAUAAUUUGGAAGAGGGUUUACUUAUAAUUUUAAAUCUCUAGUUUAAAGUAUAUUUACCUUUAAAGCACAACUCAACAAAUUCAUGUUUUCAACAAUUUAUCUAUUAAGAAAGACAAAAAUGUUACAUUUUCACUUUGAGAAUAACAUCUUCAAUUCAUUAAUAAAAUGAUUCUAAAUUUU